rnacentral:rRNA from 1 species
UAUAAGAGACAGCAGUAGCCGCGGUAAGACGAACCGUCCGAACGUUAUUCGGAAUUACUGGGCUUAAAGCGCGUGUAGGCGGAUCGACACGUCCGACGCUGAAAUCCCCCGGCUCAACCGGGGAACGGGCCCGGAUACGAUCGGUCUGGAGGAAGGUAGGGGGGCCUGGAACUUCCGGUGGAGCGGUGAAAUGCGUUGAGAUCGGAAGGAACGCCCGUGGCGAAAGCGAGGCCCUGGACCUUUUCUGACGCUGAGACGCGAAAGCCAGGGGAGCGAACGGGAUUAGAUACCCGAGUAGUCCCUGUCUCUUAUA